UGGCACUUUAAAUCCAUAUCCACCUGAUGUGCAAUGCCAUCUCACUGGGGUUACGUUUGUAAAAUUUCGUGAUCCGUUUGGGAUUAUAUCUACUCAGAACUUUAGUCAUUUUGUCUGAAACAUAUUAUGAAUAACUUAAUUCAAAAUACAACUUUCAACAACGGAUCUCUUGGCUCUCGCAUCGAUGAAUAACGCAGCGAAAUGCGAUACGUAAUGUGAAUUGCAGAAUUCAGUGAAUCAUCGAAUCUUUGAACGCAUAUUGCGCUCUCUGGUAUACCGGAGAGCAUGCUUGUUUGAGUAUCAGUAAACACCUCAACUCCCUUUCUUCUUGAAAUGGAGCUGGACUUGAGUGAUCCCAACGCUUUAUUCAUAAAGUGGCGGGUUACUUGAAAUGCAGGUGCAGCUGGACUUUUCUCUGAGCUAUAAGCAUAUCUAUUUAGUCUGCCUCAAAAACAGAUUAUUACCUUUGCUGCAGCUAACAUAAAGGAGAUUAGUUCUUGUGCUGACUGAUGCAGGAUUCACAAAGAACGCCUCGGGUGGCUUUGUUAACUCCAUC
rnacentral:rRNA from 1 species